rnacentral:misc_RNA from 1 species
AAAACGCGAUAGGUAAUGUGAAUUGCAGAAUUCCGUGAAUCAUCAAAUUUUUGAACGCACAUUGCGCCUACUGGUAUUCCGGUAGGCAUAUCUGUUUGAGCGUCAGCAAAACAACCUUCGGUUAUUUUUUUUUUUUAAAAGAAAAUUGUUACCGGUUAUGGGCCUGAAAAAUUCUUUUAGGUUUUAAAUCUGUUACGCAAGCUACUUCCGGUUAGAUUUAUGGAUUGGUGUAAAAUUAUCUUCCGUCAACUUCUGGUCAUAGCUUUCGCUUUCAGGAAUAUCAAGUUUCCUUUUGCAGGUAACUAUAGUUUGACCUCAGAUCAGGUAAGAAUACCCGCUGAACUUAA